CCAAGUGGGAAAAAGUGCCAGGGGUGCAGGCAGGCCCCAGUCAGGAUGGAAGCCCUUGGAAGCAGGCAGCAGAGGGCGGAGCAGGGCAGGACAGGGAGGUGAGUGAGCGAUGGAGCAGGGGCUGAAGCAGUGUCCGAGGCUGAGCAGGGCCAGAGUCCCGCUGCAGCCUGAGCAGGGGCUGGAGCUCAGCAGCUGCUCGAGCAAGGGCUGGCUUUGAGCAGCCCCCACAGCAGAAUGGGAACCAAGUAUCUGCUGCAGAAAUGGUGUUGCAGACCUUCAGCCCAAGCAGUGAUAUGAAAGUUUUUGAGUGUCCUGGGAAGAUGCUUGGGUAUCUUGGGGAGAUCCUUGGUUACUCUGGGAAGAGGCAUGGGUUCUCCAGGGAUAUGUUUUGGUGUCAAGGGAGGUGCUUGCUUGACUUGAGCAAGGCAGUCGGGUGCUCUAGGAAGAUGUUGGAUUCCUUGGGGAGAUGCUUGACAGGUCCACAAAGAUGGGUGGUGUGCCCAGGGACGUGCUUGCAUGUUCCACCAAGAUGUUUUAGGACUUCCAGGGAGAUGAAUGAGUGACCAGGGGAGAACCUUGGGUGCAGCAGAGAAAUGCUUAUGUGCUCUGGGGAGGGAGGUGCUUGUGUGCUCUGGGAAUGUCCUUGGGCUCUCUAGGAAGAUGCUCUGGAAGGUUCCCCUGGGAGAUACUUGGGUGCCCCAGGAGGUGCUUGAGUACUGCAGAGAGCAGUUUGUCUCCUCCAGGAAGGGGCUUGAAUGCUCCGGGAGUAUUGUUGAGUUCCCUGGGCAGGUGCUUGUUUGCCCCGUUGAGAUGCUUGGGUGCACCAACAAGAUUGCUGAGUGUUCAAGAAUGAUGCUUGGAUGCUUUGGGGAGAUAUAUGUUUCCUCAGGUGACAAGCACUAGUUUUCUGAAAACAAGCUUGUUGCUCUAGGAGGGCAGUGGUGGCUGUGUCACCCAGCUGUCACAGGAGGGCAGUGUGAAGAAUUUCCUCCAAAUAUCUAAUGGAAAUGAGUCCUCAGUUUAAGACCACGUCCAAGAAGAAGCUUGGGUGCUCCAGAAUGGUGCUUGAAUGCACUGGGAAGAUGCUUUGGUGCUCAAACGGGGAGCUUGUGUUCUCUGGUUAUGU